ensembl:lncRNA
UUUUUUUUUUUUUUUGUCGGAGUCUCGCUCUGUCACCCAGGCUGGAGUGCAGUGGCCGGAUCUCAGCUCACUGCAAGCUCCGCCUCCCGGGUUCCCGCCAUUCUCCUGCCUCAGCCUCCGGAGUAGCUGGGACCACAGGCGCCCGCCACCUCGCCCGGCUAGUUUUUUGUAUGUUUUAGUAGAGACGGGGUUUCACUAUGUUAGCCAGGAUGGUCUUGAUCUCCUGACCUCGUGAUCCGCCCGUCUCGGCCUCCCAAAGUGCUGGGAUUACAGGCUUGAGCCACCGCGCCCGGCCUUAGUAUUCAUCUAUCUAUCCAUCCUGCCUUUUGGGUAUUAAUCGUAUGUCAGUCAAGAAACGAAACAGACUUGUAAGCCCUGAUUACUGUCUAAUAAUCCGUGCCCGGCGCAAAUAAUCGCUCUAAUAUUUCAAGCCGCGAUAAGUGCUCUAAACGGGAAGUUGAGGGAUCUAAAGUCGCGUACAGUGGUCUGGUGAAAAUAGUAACCAGUAAUACAGUUGGCUCCGUUCAUAAUUCAUGGUGAUUUCAAUAUCCACAUGGAUGAUUCCUGCAAUGCUUAUACAGCCUCUCAGCUUCCAGCCUCCUGUGAUCUUCCCCACACCAGCGCAGCCACACACUCCUGGUAUCACACCAUUGACUUUACUCAUAACUGUGUGCCCUCCGUAGUGUCGGUUUCAAGCAGCUCACUUUACAUUCCCUUUCCAUUCCAGCUCAUACCUCUUAGUGCCAGUAAUUACUUACCUGCAUCAGAUUCCUCACCUCUCCCUAUCCCUCUGCUCUUACACUUCCCUCUUUUCCCAGCAUAAAUUCAGGUCCCAUCAUUUUAGUGCAUGUACUCUCAACGGCCUUGGCUCCCUCUCCCUCCUUUCUCCCAGCCAGGAAAAACCCCAACUCUCCACCUACUCUGGAACUCCUCUUGAGCAAGUGAAUUUGACUGGAAAAAACAAACGAGCAUGCUAACAUGACUCAUUUUAAUGAUCAUAAACAUCAAGCCGACCUUUGGUGCUGCUGAGCAACGCUCCCACAUUUCCGUGGUCAAAUCACUCACCCACUCUUUGGGGGGCUGUUCACACCUUCCUUCUCAAAACUCCUACACAAUCUCUGCUUGCCUGCCAACUCUCACUUCUCGUCGAAUAGAAAAUAACAAUUUGAAGAGCUCUUGCCUUUGGCCUCACCACACAAUCUAUUGCCAAUCAGUAUUUUGCCUUUUCUCUCGUGACAACGGGGGAACUGGCUUUGGGCUUUUUCUCUGUCUAUCCUCGCUUUCUAAUUUAGUACCCACACACAAGUCCCCUCUUCAUUUGGUUGUCUAGCCUGAGCUUCCUUAUAGGAAGGCAUCAGAAUUUCAAGAGAGUGAACGUGGAAGCUUCAGGUUUCGUAAGGCCUGGAUGCCCACUGCACAUUACUUCUGCCACAAUUGAUUGAUGAAAACAAGUCAUAAGGCAAGUUCAGAUUCAAGAGGUAGGAAAAUAGAGGAGUGUAAAAUACUGUGGCCAUGACUUCCAAUUCGCCACAACUUUGGGAUGACUGAUUAAAUGUAAAAGGACUGUUACCAGUGGAAAGCAUGUUUUCAAGUGAAUUUAGAUUUAUUA